GGUCCUCGGGACGCAGCAGUAGGGAAUCUUCCACAAUGGGCGAAAGCCUGAUGGAGCAACGCCGCGUGGGUGAAGAAGGUCUUCGGAUCGUAAAACCCUGUUGUUGGAGAAGAAAGUGCGUGAGAGUAACUGUUCACGUUUCGACGGUAUCUAACCAGAAAGCCACGGCUAACUACGUGCCAGCAGCCGCGGUAAUACGUAGGUGGCAAGCGUUAUCCGGAUUUAUUGGGCG
rnacentral:rRNA from 1 species